rnacentral:rRNA from 1 species
ACAUGCAAGUCGAACGAGAAGCAAAACUUCGGUUUUGUGGACAGUGGCGAACGGGUGCGUAGCACGUGAGCAACCUGCCCCUAAGUACGGAAUAGCCCACCGAAAGGUGGAUUAAUACCGCAUGUGUCCCUUUUUCGCAUGGAGAAGUGGAUAAAGCUUGUAAUGGCGCUUAGGGAUGGGCUCGCGGCCUACCAGUCUUGUUGGUGAGGUAACGGCUCACCAAGGCUAAGACGGGUAGCUGUUCUGAGAGGAUGAUCAGCCACACCGGGACUGAGACACGGCCCGGACACCUACGGGUGGCAGCAGUUUCGAAUCAUUCACAAUGGGCGAAAGCCUGAUGAUGCAAUGCCGCGUGGAGGAUGACGGCCUUAGGGUUGUAAACUCCUGUCAUUAGGGAACAACAAGUAGGUUCAUAGCCUACUCUGAGUUAACCUAAAGAGGAAGAGGUGGCUAACUCCGUGCCAGCAGCCGCGGUAAUACGGAGACCUCGAGCGUUACUCGGAUUUACUGGGCGUAAAGGGUGAGCAGGCGGCCAAGUGUGUUAGGUGUGAAAUCCCGGGGCUUAACCCCGGAACUGCGC